UCGCGCAUCAAGCGCAGGUGCUUCUCUCUCUCUCCGUCGUCACUCUUGCCACCGCGGACGCCUCAUAUCGUCCAGCCCAGCUGGGGAACCGUUCGUUCUCGCCUCUUUCGAUCCUUUGGAGCGGACAAGACCCCCCCCCUCCCACGCCCACACACGCACACACACGCAGACGCGGACGCGUCGGCACGUCUCCUUACUUGUCCCUGCCUGGCUGCACCUCUUCGCCGCAAAGCGAGAGCACACGAGAAGAGGUGUCGAGCAAUGCGGCGUGCGACUGCGUAUCGCCAGAUGCGGCAAGUGGCAGUGGUGCCAAGCACCACUGGCGCCUCUCCGGUCCUUAGCGCUGCUGUAGUCCGGUUGAUGUCGGCCGCUGCCGGCACCGCCAUCCACCGACAUACCGACCCACAUCGCCGUGCCUCCAGCAUGCGGCCUCAUAGUCCCUCCUUGGCGAGUGGGACGGCGACGUUGGUGCACAGUUGCCGCUGGCAAUCGUCGGCCACGCCACAGAAGGACUUCAGCCACAUCACCCAUGAUCUCGUGUGGGGUCUGUGGAAUGAGGGAAACCUCUUCUCUCUCUCCACGGCAGAGCUCACGUACUACUUGCAGCAACAGCAGCAGCGCGCUGGCGGCAGCAGCACGUUCGUGAUCGACCCUCAGGCGAAGAAAAGCACUCUUGUGCGCCAAGUGGAGGAGGUACUGUCAGCGGAGCAGGCAAGCAUCACGGUGCCGCAGGACGCUGGUGCGACAGUGACCAUGACCGGCUCCGACCGUGUCGAGGAAACGCUCGACGAGGCGGACGAGUACGGUGACUGGGGGGCCGAGCCCGGCUUUGAGGAGCGGCGCCACAUUGACUACAUGGAGUUCAACCCGCUGCGCAUGGGCGAACGGUACGAGCCGCUUGUGCCGCGCGCCUACCAGCUACUUCACAGCGACCUCUCCGCCGAUGUCGGUCUGACAGCGUUGGACCCGUCCAAGUUUCCUGGGCAAAGCAAGAACAAAAUUGCCUACCUUGUCUCAAAAGUGAAUGUGGACAAGGCGAACGAGCAGCACUUCCGUCGCGGCCUUGAGUGGUGCCUCGCCAACCUGUGGAACACCAACAUGAACGGUGAGCUGAACAUCGGUGCCGGCCGCGUCAUUUUCUAUCGCACCAUUGCAAAACAGAACCGCAACACGCUCCCUCUGUGGACGCUGCAGCGGCACCUCUACGCCUACCACCCGUACGUGUGGUUCGCCAUCGCCUCCGCCUCCAACGCGGAAGCGAUGGAGGCGCUGGCGGAGCGACUUGGGAUGAAGCUAGUGCAGGAUGCGACGACAAGCUACAAGAUCAGCAUCCGUCGUUCUAGUGAGCUGCUCGAUGGGGAGCUGAACGCGCAGCUGCAGUGCACAAAGAUGAACCGGCCGUGGGACAGGUUUCUCGUCACGCACUACGUGCGCUCUCAAAUGCCGGAUCUGCGCUUUCUCGUGCGUGCGCGUCAUCCGAUCAAGAAGCGUAUUGUGGACGCGUACCUUGAGACGGACAUUCUUCGCAGCACUCGAGACUCGGUCCAGUCAGUGCUCUCGCCGGAGCUUGGCGAAGUCUGCUACUGCUGCGAGCGCGUUAUCCGAAAGUGGGCGAUGCGGACGCAGGCUGGCGUGACGCUGCAGCUCGUGGAGACACGACGUACUCCGCUUAUCAUCACCAAGGCUGGCGACGAGGGUGAACGGCUCGAGUACGAGUGGAUUGUGGUGCUCCCUCAGAAAGCGGAGCGUGUCGAUGUCGCGGCCCUGUCGGCGGAGCUGUGGGACUACGGCAAUCUGCUGGCAAGGGAGCUGGAGCCGGGCAUGGAGGAGUUCCUGUCUCACACAAUGACAGCCGCAGCCUCCUACUAAGGUGACCGUGGCUUUCCGUUGCUCUUUGCUUCUAUAGCUGGAUAGAGGGGACAGCGAGACAUGCAGCGGGAUGACGUGAGAGGCUUCGCUGAGGGGGGGUGAGGACAGGCGGGUUUCCAUUCCUCACCUUUCCAUGGCCUUGUUCUUGCAGUCCUAGGAAGAGACGACGAUGUGCUGCAGCUACCCCUCGUCACAGGUGUUCCUUUAUUUCUCUCCCUCUCUCGUUAGAGCCGUCACAGAAUGUAGUUUGCUCUUUCUCUUUUUUUCUUUGUUAGCUUGCCUACUGUUGUGCAUGCGGUUGUCCUCUUGCCUUGUGUUUGCACCUCCCCCUUCCGCUGCAUUGCCUUCCCACCUCAUUCUCUUCCUUCGUGAUACCGCGACACCUUCUCCUCGUGCGUUUGCAGUGGUUUUCUUUCUAAGCUCUUAUCGCUUCUCUGCUGACGUUGUUGUUGUUGCUAGGGGGAGGGGGCGCAUAGCGAUGCACGUGUCUGCCUAGGCGCGAGUCAGGGAGUGCGUCUGUCCGGCAUUGGGUAGCAUAGGGGAAGAGGAGGAGAAACGGGGAAGAAAGCGGAUGCCUCUAAGCUGAGACUCGGCCCAUGGAAGAGCAGCCAAAGAGGGCCGCCGCUGCUCACCCUCCGCCUCAACGAUCACGCACACACGCACGCACAAACCUGAAGGGUCACUUGCUGCGUGUGCGGCUCACGUACAGAUACCCGCCGUAUUUUUAUCGGGCUAGCAUGUGUGUGUGUGUGUGUGUGGUUGAAGGUCAUUUUUCUUUCCGUGGCUAGAGGGAAAGAGAGAGCAAGGCGUGUGUGUUGAUGUGUUUGUACUUUGUGUGCGCUUUUUGUUCUGUGGUUUGUUCGUUUUCUGUUAAGCCACCAGUGGCACUCUUGUCUGUAGGGGAGGGGGCUUAGUGUGUGUCUGUGUGUGUGCGUGGGUCAAUCUCUUGGCGCAAGGUGUAAGUUCAUGUUCUUUCAUGGAUCGCCCGAUGUUGAG
rnacentral:misc_RNA from 1 species